GGAUCAGUGGCGAACGGGUGAGUAACACGUGAGCAAUCUGCCCCUGACUCUGGGAUAACAGUUGGAAACAGCUGCUAAUACCGGAUACGAGACGUGACCGCAUGGUCGACGUUUGGAAAGAAUUUCGGUCAGGGAUGAGCUCGCGGCCUAUCAGCUUGUUGGUGAGGUAAUGGCUCACCAAGGCGUCGACGGGUAGCCGGCCUGAGAGGGUGACCGGCCACACUGGGACUGAGACACGGCCCAGACUCCUACGGGAGGCAGCAGUGGGGAAUAUUGCACAAUGGGCGAAAGCCUGAUGCAGCAACGCCGCGUGAGGGACGACGGCCUUCGGGUUGUAAACCUCUUUUAGCAGGGAAGAAGCGAAAGUGACGGUACCUGCAGAAAAAG
rnacentral:rRNA from 1 species